AAUCAACGCUGGCGGCGUGCCUCAGACAUGCAAGUCGAACGCGAAAGUUUCCUUCGGGGGAGUGAGUAGAGUGGCGCACGGGUGAGUAACACGUAGGUAAUCUACCUUUGGAUGGGGAAGUAACAAUCGGAAACGGUUAGCUAAUACCGCAUAAUGCAGCGGCACCUAAUGGUGACAGUUGUUAAAGACGGGGGAUCGAAAGACCUCGCGUCUGAAGAGGAGCCUGCGGCGGAUUAGCAG
rnacentral:rRNA from 1 species